rnacentral:rRNA from 1 species
GUUAUUAAUGGGUUAAAUAUUGUGAGUAAGUGAAUUAAUGGAAACAAAAAAAUAUGGCGGUACUUUAAGCUUAUCAGAGGAAUUUUCUCUGUAAUGGAUAAAACACCUGAAUCUUACUAAAGUUAGUUAAAUCAGCUUGUAUACCACUAUAAGAGUAAUAAUUUAUUAUUAUUUCUAUAAUUUUUUCAUAAAAAAAUAAAUUAAGUCAUGGUGCAGCAAAAAUUUUAGAAUGAAGUGAAUUACAUUUCUUUUAAGAAAAAAAAAUUGAAAAAUUAUAUUAGGAUUUGAAAGUAAAUAAAUAAUAACAUGAUUUAUUGAAUUUAGCUCUAAAGUAUGUAC